CCUACGGGUGGCUGCAGUGGGGAAUAUUGGACAAUGGGGGGAACCCUGAUCCAGCCAUGCCGCGUGUGUGAAGAAGGCCCUCGGGUUGUAAAGCACUUUCAGUGAGGAAGAACGCCUGGUGGUUAAUACCCAUCAGGAAAGACAUCACUCACAGAAGAAGCACCGGCUAACUCCGUGCCAGCAGCCGCGGUAAUACGGAGGGUGCGGGCGUUAAUCGGAAUUACUGGGCGUAAAGCGCGCGUAGGUGGCUUGAUAAGCCGGUUGUGAAAGCCCCGGGCUCAACCUGGGAACGGCAUCCGGAACUGUCAAGCUAGAGUGCAGGAGAGGAAGGUAGAAUUCCCGGUGUAGCGGUGAAAUGCGUAGAGAUCGGGAGGAAUACCAGUGGCGAAGGCGGCCUUCUGGACUGACACUGACACUGAGGUGCGAAAGCGUGGGUAGCAAACAGGAUUAGAUACCCGUGUAGUC
rnacentral:rRNA from 1 species